rnacentral:rRNA from 1 species
GAUGAACGCUGGCGGCGUGCCUAAUACAUGCAAGUCGAGCGAACGGACGAGAAGCUUGCUUCUCUGACGUUAGCGGCGGACGGGUGAGUAACACGUGGAUAACCUACCUAUAAGACUGGGAUAACUUCGGGAAACCGGAGCUAAUACCGGAUAAUAUUUUGAACCGCAUGGUUCAAUAGUGAAAGACGGUUUUGCUGUCACUUAUAGAUGGAUCCGCGCUGCAUUAGCUAGUUGGUAAGGUAACGGCUUACCAAGGCAACGAUGCGUAGCCGACCUGAGAGGGUGAUCGGCCACACUGGAACUGAGACACGGUCCAGACUCCUACGGGAGGCAGCAGUAGGGAAUCUUCCGCAAUGGGCGAAAGCCUGACGGAGCAACGCCGCGUGAGUGAUGAAGGUCUUCGGAUCGUAAAACUCUGUUAUUAGGGAAGAACAAAUGUGUAAGUAACUAUGCACAUCUUGACGGUACCUAAUCAGAAAGCCACGGCUAACUACGUG